rnacentral:piRNA from 1 species
CUUGUACAUCAACUUCUAGUACA